GGUGGUCCUCAAACGAGUGUCCUCUGUCCUUCAGAUGUUGUUUGGCUGAAGCUGAAACUGAGCUUGAGAGAUGUACCACGGCAGUAAUGUCAUCAAGGAAGAGGAGGAUCCUCUCCAGCCACCACGUAACAUUGGUCACUUGCAGAUUUGGAGUCUUCCAUAAUCCUGUACUUCUCACCAGUACAUGCUGAUCGGACCAUGCUGGCUGGCCUGGAUUCAACCACCAUGUCCACAGUCCAGCCAGGUACAGCAAGGUGUACAACAAAAAGUCCAGGAAGUGGAUUGAAGGUGGAGAAGGACUACAGUUACAUCGCAGACCUCCAGAGUGCCAUCCUCCUCCUCCUCCUCCUCCUCCUCCUCCGACGGUUGUCUACUACUAUU